UGCCCACGCCUGCCGAGCCGGUGGGCAUCUGAAAAUAGCAUGAUUAAUUGUUUCCUCCUCAGCCCCACACCGUACACACGCAGAAUCACAGGGAAUACCCCUCCGCCUAAAUUUCUUGUACACCUCCGUUUUCUGAAUCAAUUGGGCAACAACAAAAGACUGCAAGACCUGCUGAUUCUCGAGCUCUUCACCACCAUUAAAUCCGGUGAUAGUACCUUCUGGUGACGAUUUCACUUCACCCAAGCCCCAAGGUUACAUUUUCGUCUACCUAUCAAAUCCCUAAGCAAGAGUCUCUUCAGAUUCAUUGUGUCGAUGGGAUUAUAUAAUCGAGCAAUUAGUGAAGUAGGUGAGAAUUUUGGUGAAUCCUAUUUACCCGUUUCAUCUUCGAUUAAUUCAUGGGUAAGAGAUCUCGUUUUCGUCUUCUUUUUCAUUAAGUUUCAUGAGAUAACCCCAAGCAAGUAUAGAUCACUCAAGUAAUUUAAUUUGUAACAUAAAUUUUCCUUAAAAGAUGUGCUUUGGUUUUUGGCGAGUCUGGUCCUUCUUUUUGAUGAUUCUGUAGUUCAUGCAAAACUGAAAUUUGUUUCAUUAAUUAUUAUGCUCUUUUCUACUUGUUGAUUUCGUAGCUGCAUUGCCAUUUUGAAUUAUCAUUCGUAUCUAGUUCGGUUCAGGGACCAACAAUUACUAAUUUAUUAUUCCAUUUUGUUGGAGCUGUUGAGCUUUUGGUUUUGCAGAAAAUGAUAUGAGGCUUUUGAGACCUCACUCUCUUGGUACUAUGAGCUAAUCAUUUUCAAAGUCUUCCCAACAAAAAAAACAUCAGGAACUACAGGAUAACAUUUUGGAAACAUAUUAAAGAAGGAUAGGGCAAGAUGCUCUCCAUAUGAUUCUAAAAUCACCAAGGUCAAAAGAUUCUCAAGUUUAUUACACGAAUUUGCUAGUCUGAUCUCUGUGAAUGAAAAUAUGAAACAUCAUUAAAGAGAAACAACAAAAAAGGACUUAAUAUCAGACACAUGAAUGAUACCAUCAUCGGCGGCCAUCGAUACUAUCAAGGUUUCGGCGGAAGAGUAUGUUUGGAAACGGUUGUAAUAUUCCACGAUCCGAAUAAGGUAAAACCGGAUCCUUUAGGGUCCGCGUGUUUUGACUUCUUCAGAUUACUUGUUUGCCCUCGAUAUAGUUUUUUCUUUGUCUUCCUUUU